AGCUGUCCUUCGUUUGAAGCAGCUGGCCGUUACUUUCGGAGCCUUUCAGCCUGUCAGUUCUUUUGUUAUUCUAAAGUAUGUAUGGGGGCAUCUAUAAAACAUUAUGAGAAGAUGUGUAUGGUGGAUAUGCCAAGGUUUAUGAAACUAAAGCGUCGUUGUAUAGUAGUUCAAAUAGCUACCAAUGUUGCUGUAUCUAAGAAUGGAAAGAUUACUUAGAAUGACAAUUGGAUAUGAGGGGUACCACUAUUGUCUCGGAUAAAAUUCGAACCGGCUAAAACACGCACGAAUCAAGGCUAUGAAAGCAACAAAAGAGGCCAGAACAUCUAGUCGACUGGAAAAAAAUAAACAACAACAAUUGCUUAUUGAUCAGGAAGGCAUACAAUAUGAAGCUGGAAUGGGAUAUUAGACAUCCAUCAACAUUUGAAGGAGAAAUGAUGCAGACCGUGGAUUAACUUUUUUGACGUGAUAACGUCUUAUAACUCGAUUUAACAGGCUGCACGCACGAAAAAAUGUGUCGUUACCUUGCUCAUUAGUGUU